UGCCCAAUGACUAACCAACACUCGAGACUAAUAAAAAUGAAAACUCGUACGUCUUGCAACUAAAACAAUCUUCCCCAUCAUUAUACAAAUAUCACAAUCUGUAUAUUGUAUCAAUAUCAGAUGAAGCAUAAUUGCAGAUGUUAAACAGGAACAACCAACAUCAAUAUAAGGCUUCAAAUCGUCAGGUUGAAGAUCCUCCAUAACGGCGCACAAGAAUAGCCCGAUACAGGGUGCCAACAUGAAGGAAAAAGAUAAGGGCUAUAAUGACAUCAUCCAAUAGACCAAGUACUCCAAACAAUGCUGUCAAAAAUCAAAAUAACCAACAUUUUAUCAAACAUAUAUUUGAGUUGAUAUAUAUUGAUUUGUGAAGCGGGCUUGAAGCAACGUACCUUCGGGUAUAAUGUCCACAGGGCUAAGUACAUAAAUGGCAGUUGAUAUUAGCUGUCCAGAUAUACGCGUGCUUUAAUGACAAACGGGAGAGAUCUUUGAGGAUCCAUCAGUUCUCGAAACAACCUUUUGAGA
rnacentral:lncRNA from 1 species